UGCCUAUUAGCUCAAAUGGAAAAGCAAUGUGCAAUUGCACAUGGAUGUAGGUUCAAAUCCUACAUAGGCUU
rnacentral:tRNA from 1 species